UGGGGAAUUUUGCACAAUGGGGGAAACCCUGAUGCAGCGACGCCGCGUGAUUUAGACGGCCUUCGGGUUGUAAAAAUCUUUUCUAUGGGAAGAAAAUGACAGUACCAUAGGAAUAAGGUCCGGUUACUUACGCUCCCGCAGCCGCGGUAAUACGUAAGGUCCGAGCGUUGUCCGGAAUCAUUGGGCGUAAAGGGUACGUAGGCGGGUAAGCAAGUUAGAAGUGAAAUCCUAUAGCUCAACUAUUGUAAGCUUUUAAAACUGCUCAUCUUGAGGGAAGGAAGGGAAAGUGGAAUUCCUUGUGUAGCGGUGAAAUGCGCAGAUAUUAGGAGGAAUACCGGUGGCGAAAGCGACUCUCUGGCCAGAACCUGACGCUGAGGUACGAAAGCGUGGGGAGCAAACAGG
rnacentral:rRNA from 1 species